UACGGAGGGUGCGAGCGUUGUUCGGAAUCACUGGGCGUAAAGCGCGUGUAGGCGGCCCACUAAGUCUGAUGUGAAAGCCCGGGGCUCACCCCCGGAAGUGCAUUGGAAACUGGUGGACUCGAGUCCCGGAGAGGAGAGUGGAAUUCCGGGUGUAGCGGUGAAAUGCGUAGAUAUCCGGAGGAACACCGGUGGCGAAGGCGGCUUCCUGGACCGACACUGACGCUGAGGCGCGAAAGCUAGGGGAGCAAACGGG
rnacentral:rRNA from 1 species